GGCCGCCUGGCGAAAUGGCAUCGCGUCUGACUACGAUCAAAUGCGUAAUCAGGAGAUUGCAGGUUCGACCCCUGCGGUGGUCA
rnacentral:tRNA from 1 species